UACGAAGGGUGCAAGCGUUGUUCGGAAUUACUGGGCGUAAAGGGCGCGUAGGCGGGUUUGUAAGUCGAUUGUGAAAUCCCUGGGCUUAACCCGGGAACUGCAGUCGAAACUGCAAAUCUUGAAUACCUGGAAGGAUGGCGGAAUUCCCGGUGUAGUAGUGAAAUACGUAGAUAUCGGGAAGAACACCUGAGGCGAAGGCGGCUAUCUGGCAGUGUAUUGACGCUGAGGCGCGAAAGCGUGGGGAGCAAACAGG
rnacentral:rRNA from 1 species